GGGGGCGAUCUGGGUUCGACAGGGAGGUAAAUCCCGGGAAGAGGCAUGCCGGGGUUGCCGGGAGGCCCCGUCCCGAGGUAAACUCGGGAUCCCGAUCUGGAAUCGGGAUAAAAACCCGGCAAAAAAAUAAACGCCGACUGCGUGAACGCUCUGGCUGCAUAAGAUGCAGCCACAUCCUCUUCACCUUGCCUGCGGGUGAAGAAGGGUGUCGGUAGCAGGCUCUCCUUGUCUUCCCUGCUCCGGGGGAGAUAAGGGAAAAAUCACCGGAGCUGGUCCCUCCCUCUCUGUCCAGGGGAGAGUGAGGGAUGAGAUAAAUCCCUGGACUAAGCAUGUAGUUAUCUUCCCGGGAUAACUCUCUGGACGCGGGUUCAAUUCCCGCCGCCUCCACCC
rnacentral:tmRNA from 1 species